rnacentral:rRNA from 1 species
UACGUAGGUGGCAAGCGUUGUCCGGAUUUAUUGGGGUUAAAGGGUGCGUAGGCGGUUUCCUAAGUCAGUUGUGAAAUACGGCAGCUUAACUGUCGAGGUGCAAUUGAUACUGGGAAACUUGAGUACUGAUGAGGUAUGCGGAAUGGACGGUGUAGCGGUGAAAUGCUUAGAUAUCGUCCAGAACACCGAUAGCGAAGGCAGCAUACUAAGGAGUAACUGACGCUGAGGCACGAAAGUGUGGGGAUCAAACAGG